rnacentral:tRNA from 1 species
AGUUAAUGAGCUUGAACAAGCAUAUAUUUUGAAAAUAUAAGAUAAACAAUUUGUUUAUUAACUU